rnacentral:rRNA from 1 species
CCCUUAGAUGUUCUGGGUCGCACGCGCGCUACACUGACUGGUUCAUCGAGUAUACAACCUUGACUGAUAGGUCUGGGUAAUCUUCUCAAAGCCAGUCGUGCUGGGGAUAGAUUAUUGUAAUUUUUAAUCUUCAACGAGGAAUUCCUAGUAAACGCGAGUCAUCAACUCGCAUUGAUUACGUCCCUGCCCUUUGUACACACCGCCCGUCGCUACUACCGAUUGAAUGGCUUAGUGAGCUUUCUGGACUGUUGCACUUCGUUGGAAACUUCGUUGUGCAUACGGGAAGGAAAUCAAACUUGAUCAUUUAGAGGAAGUAAAAGUCGUAACA